CCAGUUUGUCAACAGGAGAAGUUGGGAGAUUCUCCGGAGUUCUAAUUCCCACUCAACUACCAUAUACCAAACAUGCAUAUAGUGACCUAAUUUACUCCUUCUAAGAGCUUUUUUAAAGAUGAGGAAACUGAAGCAUUCCUGUACCCCUUACCCCUGACCUAGUACUGUCUCUAUUAUGGAGCUAUCGCCUUCAUGUGUAUCUUUGUUAUGGGUUGAAUUAUUUCUCUCCCCAAAUUCAUAUGCGGAAACCUUAAUACUCAGUGCCUCAGCAUAUGACUAUAAUUGGAGAUACGGGCUUUAAAGAGUAAUUAAAGCAAAAUGAGGUCAUAUGGGUGGGCCCUAAUCCAAUGUGACUGGUGUCUUUAUAAGAAGAGGAGAUUAAGACACAGACACACACACACACACAGGGAAAAUCAUGUGAGGUUACGGAGAUGGUGGCAUCUAUAAGCCAAGGAGAGAGGCCUCAGAAGAAACCACCCUGCCAACAUCUUGAUCUUGGACUCCAGCCUCCAGAACUAAAGAAGAAUGCGAUUUUGCCAGGUCGACAGCAAUAACACCCACUUUUGACAGCCCUCAAGUCCUCCCAGCCAGAAGCCAAACAGAAAGUCAAAGCCGGCUGUGUUUCCACCACCCCCAGGGUGGGCCUCAUCCAAUCAGUUGAAAGCCUUACGAGAAAAGACCUAGGUCCCUACAGAGGGAAUUCUGCUUCUGCACUGCUCUCAGAUUCAAGACUGCAGUAUCACCUCUUGCCAGAUUUUCUAGCCUACAAGCCUGCUUUGCAAAUUUUGGACUUGCCAGCCCCCAGUCAUACAUUUCUAUUUGGACAUGGACAACGCUGUAACAACAUGAUGGCAAUGGAAACAAAGCAAAGGGAGAGCUAUGGUGGUGAACACUCAGAUGAAGUGGAUUUUUAUCAAUAGGUAAUUCACAUCUUUUAGCUGCUAAUUCUGAAAAUAGGACCCAAUUUGUUCCCCCUGCCAAACAGUUUUCAAAAUUUAAUUAUCAGUUACGUUGAUCAUCUGUGUUUCCUACAUUUUAUCACCUCAGUGUUUUAGGAAUGAUAUUGAAAUGAAAGCUCGUUUUCACAAAGUUAGAGGUUAAGUAAACUCUUGUGUCUGUCACACCCAUGACUUAUCAUGAGGGUUUCCAUUUUAAUUUUUUCACCAUAGACACUGAUUUUUCCCUUUCGUCAUGAUAGUUACAAUCUACUUCUUAACCUGACCCAGAGAUUAGGCAGUGAUGCAGUGGUGGUGGGUGGAAGUUUCAGGAAGGUCACUCCCAGCCAUUCAGUGGGAUUGUCAAGGAUACCUGAGUUCCACUCACCCCACAGUGUAAUUCCUGACCCAACCCCUUGUCCGUUGGAUUCAUGGCUCUGAGCUAAAUGGCAAAAACUUCUAUUCUCCUUUGUGAUUUUUAAAAUUUAAAUUUAAUUUACUUAUUUUAGAGAGAGAGCAUGUGCACAAGCAUGAGGGGCAGAGGGAGAAGGAGAGAGAAUUCCAGGCUGACUCUGCACUGAGCCUGGAGCCUGACACUGGGCUCAGUCUCAUGACCCUGAGAUCACCAUUGCAGGAUUUCUUUUCCUUCGGCGCCUGCGGUUCUUGGUCACACUGAUUCAAAGAAUAGAGAGGUAGACUAGACAAAGUGAUGGGCAGUAAACCAAAGCUUAUUGAGUCAUAGUACAAAGCUCCCAAAGAGGGAGGGACCCGAGAGGGUUGC